CGCAUCAGCCCUCUUGGGCGUUUCCACCCUAGACUUGGCCUACCCUCGCGGGCGGGUCGCUUUCGGUGCCCUA
rnacentral:sRNA from 1 species